AACGAACGCUGGCGGCAUGCCUAACACAUGCAAGUCGAACGAGAUCCUUCGGGGUCUAGUGGCGCACGGGUGCGUAACGCGUGGGAAUCUGCCCUUAGGUUCGGAAUAACAGUUAGAAAUGACUGCUAAUACCGGAUGAUGACGUUAAGUCCAAAGAUUUAUCGCCUGAGGAUGAGCCCGCGUAGGAUUAGCUAGUUGGUGUGGUAAAGGCGCACCAAGGCGACGAUCCUUAGCUGGUCUGAGAGGAUGAUCAGCCACACUGGGACUGAGACACGGCCCAGACUCCUACGGGAAGCAGCAGUGGGGAAUAUUGGACAAGGGGCGCAAGCCUGAUCCAGCAAUGCCGCGUGAGUGAUGAAGGCCUUAGGGUUGUAAAGCUCUUUUACCCGAGAUGAUAAUGACAGUAUCGGGAGAAUAAGCCCCGGCUAACUCCGUG
rnacentral:rRNA from 1 species